rnacentral:rRNA from 1 species
CAGCCGCCGCGGUAAUACCAGCAGCCCAAGUGGUGGUCGCGUUUAUUGGGCCUAAAGCGCUCGUAGCCUGGCCGGUAAGUUCCCCGUGAAAUCGGGUCGCCCAACGAUUCGGCUUGCGGGGAAUACUGUCGGUCUUGGGGCCGGGAGACGCCGAGGGUACUCCGGGGGUAGCGGUGAAAUGCUGUAAUCCUCGGGGGACUACCAGUGGCGAAGGCGCUCGGCGAUAACGGGCCUGACGGUGAGGGGCGAAAGCUGGGGGCGCGAACGGGAUUAGAUACCCCGGUAGUCCCUGUCUCUUAUA